rnacentral:tRNA from 5 species
CGGGGAAAGGUGGCCUUGGAGGCACACCGGGCGUUGGAGUCCGGAGGGACAGGUUCGAUUCCUGUUUGCCCGAC